GUCAUGUUUUGGUCAUUCUGAGAUAGUCAUGGAAAAUUACAACACAGAUGUUCAUACGGGAUCUUCCUUCUAUUGCCCAGUGCCCCGUGAAGCCCUUGAACAAAACCAGAAGAAAGUGAAAAAUAAACAGCCUUAUACGGUUGUCAUCAUCCUAUCCCCAGUGAUGGAGCCAUACUUGGGUCUGAAAUAUUUUGACACAGAUGAAGCAAGUCUUUGCAAUUUCCAAAGGAAAGGCUUCUGUGACACACUCUCUUGUUUGAAGGAGUGACAAUAACCUGAGAAUUGCUGAUGUUUAGUAUGCAUUUAUUGUGUGCUAGAGCCUGGAC
rnacentral:lncRNA from 10 species